rnacentral:lncRNA from 1 species
CUUUAUUAGCAAAUUCGGGCUCAUAUCCCUUGCCGGUUAAAUUCCUUCAUCAUCCUACCCCAUCCUUUUAUUUUGUGCUGUUAUUCUUUCUUUUAUGUUCCAAUCAAAUCUAGCCCACUUGCAGUUUCUCCCCCAAUGCAACCCUCAUUAUUUUCUCUCCCCUUCAUGCAAUGUGUCAAGAAUGAUCUUCUAAACUGCAGAUGCCUCACCCUCAGAGCAUCCUUUCUAGCCUGUCCUGGUUUUAGCUGAAUAAAUUCAAGCUCCCCCACCCUAUCCCAUGACCACAAAAGAGAUAACAGCAUCGGCACCCACACAGGGCAACCCAAUCCAGAGCUGGAGUGGUGCAGUGUGUGUAGAACCAUGUGUGAGCAGUGGAAAAUACUUUCAGGUCAUCCGUUUCAAUUUAUGAAUCUCUUUGGCAGCCUUUGUUCUACUCUCACAUGAGGCUCUGCCAAGUUUAGAAAUACUUCCUCUGAAUGACAAUAAAUUUGGUCUCCCCUAAUCUUUCUCCCCAUAGAUAAAAUCUCAUUGAGGUUGCAAUAGCACUAACACUUAACAGUAAUGGUUUUCUUGCUUGAUUUCAACACCCAAAGCAAAUGAAUCUGAGGGCCUCCUAUGUCUGAGGUCGCAGUUGCUUGACUUGAGGACUCUUGCCUGUCCAUAUCCUGACAGUUGGAAGCUCCCUUGCUUGGAUAACUGCCUCUCAUGCUGUUUUAUUUUAUGAAGUCAAGACCAUUGAUAAAACCCAGACAGUUUGCAGAAGGGCCUAGGGAAGGUCAUUCCUCUGGACCCUUGGCUGCACCUUCUCCGACAACAGAUGAAUUCACCAGAUGUGUCAGAAGCGGCUCUCUUUUCCUCAUGCAAGAUGAACACACCCUUUGUUUGAUGAGCCUCCGAGAGCUUAAAGCUGCAUUGUUUUCAUCUGUACACCAAAGAUAACGCUGUCCAUUUCGUUGAUUUCUUGGGAGCAUCCAUCACAUGGAAAGUACCUAGACCAUCAGGUAAGAGCAAGGAGCAUGGAGAAGACAGGGGCCAACACCUGGGAACACCCGCAAGUUCAUCUACAGUAAUGUGGGUGAGAGAAACCCAGCAAGUCCCACGUACACAGAGACAGCAGAGCAAUUCCUGGCUUCCAACAAUGGUUAUUUCCCCGAACUUGCUGACUACACAGCACCACCUAGGGGCGGAGCACGCUUGGAGCCGACAGUGGUCCCUGCAAGGCCAGCUAACUGCACAGUGCCUCUGUCUCUUUUGGCCCUUC